rnacentral:tRNA from 3 species
GGGCCCGUAGCUCAGCCUGGCGGAGCGCCCGGCUCAUAACCGGGUGGUCGUGGGUUCGAAUCCCACCGGGCCCA